UUUUGUUUUUAUUUUCUCAGUCUUUUUUUAUUUUUUAUUUAAUUUGUGUAUUUGAUUUUAGUUUUGUUUCUUUGUUUUCAUUAUUUUUAUAUUAUUUUUUAUAAUUAUUUUUUAUAUUUAUAAUCUUUUGUUUAUUUUUUAAUUGUACAUUUUAGGAGUCAUUAUUUAUAAAAAUUUAAAGAAGUAUAAAAAGAUGGAUGAAAAUAUUUAUUUAGCCAUAUGUUCAAAGAAGAGUACAUACAAUAAUACACAAAAAAAGUU
rnacentral:lncRNA from 1 species